rnacentral:rRNA from 1 species
AUCAGUGGCAGAACGGGUGAGUAACACGUGAGCAACCUGCCCUGAACUCUGGGAUAAGCGCUGGAAACGGCGUCUAAUACUGGAUAUGAGCUGCGGAGGCAUCUUCGUGGUUGGAAAGAUUUUUCGGUUUGGGAUGGGCUCGCGGCCUAUCAGCUUGUUGGUGAGGUAAUGGCUCACCAAGGCGUCGACGGGUAGCCGGCCUGAGAGGGUGACCGGCCACACUGGGACUGAGACACGGCCCAGACUCCUACGGGAGGCAGCAGUGGGGAAUAUUGCACAAUGGGCGGAAGCCUGAUGCAGCAACGCCGCGUGAGGGAUGACGGCCUUCGGGUUGUAAACCUCUUUUAGCAGGGAAGAAGCGAGAGUGACGGUACCUGCAGAAAAAGCGCCGGCUAACUACGUGCCAGCAGCCGCGGUAAUACGUAGGGCGCAAGCGUUAUCCGGAAUUAUUGGGCGUAAAGAGCUCGUAGGCGGUUUGUCGCGUCUGCUGUGAAAUCUGGGGGCUCAACCCCCAGCCUGCAGUGGGUACGGGCAGACUAGAGUGCGG